UCCAGCCUGAACAACAGAGUGAGACUCUGUCUCAAAAAAUAAAAAUAGGCUGGGGGCAUCGGCUCACACCUGUAACCUUGGCACCUUGGGAGGCCGAGGCAGGCGGAUCACUUGAGGUCAGGAGUUUGAGAUCAGCCUGGCCAACAUGGUGUAACCCUAUCUCUAACUGCACUUCAACUGAGCCAAAUACUAAGUAAGGGCUGUACCAAAGAGGCAGCUUGACGCCUGGUAACAACUUUACAAUGGAAGUUUCCUAUGAGCUAGGGAGGCAGAAAUCGGAGAUAACAUUUUCCUGAAUGAGUCUUUACUACAGUCACUC
rnacentral:lncRNA from 1 species